CUGCGAGUGAAGCGGGAAAAGCUCAAAUUUAAAAUCUGGCGGUCUCUGGCCGUCCGAGUUGUAAUCUAGAGAAGUAAUGCCCGCGCUGGACCGUGUACAAGUCUCCUGGGAUGGAGCAUCAUAGAGGGUGAGAAUCCCGUCUCUGACACGGACUACCAGGGCUUUGUGGUAUGCUCUCAAAGAGUCGAGUUGUUUGGGAAUGCAGCUCAAAAUGGGUGGUAAAUUCCAUCUAAAGCUAAAUAUUGGCGAGAGACCGAUAGCGAACAAGUACCGUGAGGGAAAGAUGAAAAGAACUUUGGAAAGAGAGUUAAACAGUACGUGAAAUUGCUGAAAGGGAAACGCUUGAAGUCAGUCACGUUGGCCAGGAAUCAGCCUCGCUUUUGCGUGGUGUACUUUCUGGUUGAUGGGUCAGCAUCAAUUUUGACCACUGGAAAAAGGCCUGGGGAAUGUGGCAGCUUCGGCUGUGUUAUAGCCUCUGGUUGCAUACAGUGGUUGGGAUUGAGGAACUCAGCACGCCGCAAGGCCGGGUUUCGACCACGUUCGUGCUUAGGAUGCUGGCAUAAUGGCUUUAAGCGACCCGUCUUGAAACACGGACCAAGGAGUCUAACAUGCCUGCGAGUAUUUGGGUGAAAAACCCGAGUGCGUAAUGAAAGUGAAAGUUGAGAUCCCUGUCGUGGGGAGCAUCGACGCCCGGACCAGAACUUUUGGGACGGAUCCGCGGUAGAGCAUGUAUGUUGGGACCCGAAAGAUGGUGAACUAUGCCUGAAUAGGGUGAAGCCAGAGGAAACUCUGGUGGAGGCUCGUAGCGAUUCUGACGUGCAAAUCGAUCGUCAAAUUUGGGUAUAGGGGCGAAAGACUAAUCGAACCAUCU
rnacentral:rRNA from 1 species